ACUCCUACGGGAGGCAGCAGUGGGGAAUAUUGCACAAUGGGCGCAAGCCUGAUGCAGCCAUGCCGCGUGUAUGAAGAAGGCCUUCGGGUUGUAAAGUACUUUCAGCAGUGAGGAAGGCGGGUACGUUAAUAGCGUGCUCGUUUGACGUUAGCUGCAGAAGAAGCACCGGCUAACUCCGUGCCAGCAGCCGCGGUAAUACGGAGGGUGCGAGCGUUAAUCGGAAUUACUGGGCGUAAAGCGCACGUAGGCGGACUAUUAAGUUAGAGGUGAAAUCCCAGGGCUCAACCCUGGAACUGCCUUUAAUACUGGUAGUCUUGAGUUCGAGAGAGGUGAGUGGAAUUCCGAGUGUAGAGGUGAAAUUCGUAGAUAUUCGGAGGAACACCAGUGGCGAAGGCGGCUCACUGGCUCGAUACUGACGCUGAGGUGCGAAAGUGUGGGGAGCAAACAGGAUUAGAUACCCUGGUAGCUACG
rnacentral:rRNA from 1 species